AUGUUAGCGUGGUCACAGGUAGAUGUCUGCCGUGUGGGUCUUUCUCUCCCUCCCUCUCCCUGUGCAGGUUUGACCUGGGAAACAGGGAAUGCUCAUCAGCUGGCCGAAAUCCACAGGAUCCUGCUGGUGGCACAUGUGAUCCUCUGCCUUCCCAGUUCCAUCCGCCUUCUCAGAUUCAGGACCCUAUCUUCAUCUCCAGCCAACUCCACCCUCCGGACUAGUCCUCCACCCUCCUGCCUCACGUAAAGUAUGCAAAGUUCCCAGCACAGCUUCUCCAGCAGCACAUCCAUCAUUACCUGAGGGAGUCAGUGUAAGCCUAAUCAAGACUUUGAUUAAUUGAAAAAGGAACAGAGAGAGGUGGGCCAGGAUCAGCAGGCCUUUGGGCUCAGCCUGCUCUCUCUCCCGGCUUGGUGGAGGGUUGGCUGGCUGCAGUAUUAAAUGCCAUAUGGUGGUGCUGCUGCGCAUAAGAUCAACUUCUUGCAGAGUGGUAUCAAAUUUGCAGUACGCUUUCCCCUACCCUUAUCUUUUUAUUGAAAUUAGGUCACCUAUUUAGAAAUUGUACAAGUUUAGAACUUGUGAUGUAAACAUUGAAAUUAUUUCCAAAAUAUGUAGCACAUGCAUUGUUGCAUACUUCUGAGUUCUUCUUUGUUGUAUUUUUCUGUUAAUUCUUUUACAUUUUUGCCCAAUAUUUAUAGCACUAAAUGGUAUAUUGUUUUAUAUUACUUGUGCAUGCCACAUCAAUUAAACAACUUUCAGGUGAUUCUCAGGGUCAAAUCUAUUUAAACCUUUCAUUGAAAAACUGCUGGCAGGCAAGUAUUUCUGUGACUUAUUUGUUCGCACAUCUGGAUAAUAUAAUAACCCCAUAAUAUCACAACCCAAUCAUUAUUUUUCCCAGACUAAAUUGUGUUUUAUUUUAUAGGAUGUCACUGAUGUCAGGUGCGGCAAGGACAAACCUAUUGAACAAUCUCUGCUCCCUUUGGAGUACUAACUGAUAGCAUGACCUUAGACUUGUCUUGAUCUACCAUUAAAUACAGUUUUGAAUAAACUACAACCACAGAGUGAGUGAUUAAAGAAGUCUCUGACAGUGUCUUUAAGUAACACAGAUAUUACACCAAUUUUGUCUUCCAGCAUUGCAGGUACCAUAACACUGCCAGAGAAGAUAAAAUGCUCAGUUUCAUCUGCGUCUUACUCACUCACUCACUCCUGCAUUCAUUCAUUCAUUCACUCGCCUACUCAAUCACAGACACACUCACACACACUGCUGUAGCGGCGAGAUAAAACAUUUUUGUAGAUUGCGAAUGCGGGUAGGAAGAAAAAUGAUAUCAGGUAAUCACUGUGAGGCGUUACUAGUCAUUACUCUGAGCUGUCACUCGGAGAUGAGAGACAAGGCAGCGAGUCGCCAACACUGGACUGACUCCCUUUCUCAUUCCUCCUGUGAAUUCCUUUGUUAUUUUGGAUCCUAUUGAAUAGUCCAUUUUGGUUUCUCUUUUAUUUAUUUCCUGGAAGGUGGAGAGUGAGUGAGUCCACUGCAUCUGCAAGUUUGACCUUGACUGGGAUGAAGACUGCAUCACCAUCAAAGGCCAUGCUUCUGCUACAGAUAAAGCCUGAGAAGAAAAAUUGCUUAGAUGCAGGUGUGAAAAUGUCGGCCCACUGCUCUGUUUGAAUGUGUUCAACUUUUCCACAAAUGCAAAAACUAUUAUUAAUACCACAAUAUAUACCUCUUAUUUAAAUGUUGUAGUAUGGCGUUUUAUUUUAUUACAUAGAGUAAUUCCCUGAGUACUGGCCUAGGUUAAAGUUAAAACCAAAAGUAAAUGCAGAUGGCCCGCAGGUGAAAUUAGAAAUGAAUUUCAUAUUCACACAAAGUUCAAUUAUAUUAUGGCUAAAGUUUUACAUAAUCAAUGGAGAGCCGUGUUGAGUGAUACGGUGGUCGGCGUUACUGUUGUAUGCCUAUUUAAAAAUAAUCACAGGUGUCGGAUGUUACUUUCUUCCAGGAGGCACAGUUUUUCACCAGACGAAAUGGGCAUUCCAAUUCAUGUCAUGAUUCACCUGAAAUACAGAUGCAUCUCGCUUCACCAAGCCAGUGGUUAGUGCUAGCCUAAGCUGCUAACACUUCCAAGCUGAGUCAGGGCUGGCCUUUUUAUUCAUGCAUCCAGGGGCCUACCUCUUCUAUAGCUCCAACCUGACACCCAAAUACGGUCUUCUUAUUGAAUAAAUACGGUCUUUAUUCAUGCAUCCAGGGGCCUACUUCUUCUAUAGCUCCAACCUGACACCCAAAUACGGGCUUCUUGACCUAAAAGGGCGUCAGCAAAAAGGCAAACUUCAAAACAAUAGUCCAAAUACAAAUGGGUUAUGUCCCGACAUGACAGAUGUAACAGGCUCUGCUGUAUACUGUGUGCAACGCACGUGCGCAAAUAGACCCCUAAUGGUGCUCAAGCACCUGCCCCUUUUCCCUCGGUAGAGAAAAGUGUCAAUUCCCCCAAAAUGUGUUUUGAUAUCUGGCGGGGCAUUCGAGUUCUUGUGGGAAUUUCGCCCCAACAUGCUCCGCAGUGCUCACAAGCCCCACCGCGCACCUCCAUCCUCCUCCCUCCUGCUCUUCCUCCACUUAGUGCUCAUGCGAUGCUCAGUGCCAAACGGCUGCAGCAUCAGAGGUAAUGAUGGUGUUCGUACAAUUCCCCGAGGCUGUUUGUUGAUAAAAUAACCACAACAUUAACGUCACUGAAAACAUUACGUCGCAACUGGUCCAACAUUUCCUAGAAAAUAAACAAACGAAAAACAUUGAAUAUCCGUGAUUUCAAAGCCCUGUCCAGCUGUUUACUGAUGUUUGUCAUGUUUAAUGAAGAGAGAGAGGGAGAGAGAUGCAGACAGACAGACAGGCAGAGCAUUUAAAGGCAAUUUUACUGUUCGACAAAAUUAGACAAGUUCACAAGUAAUUUAAUUAUUGAAAUGAAAAGGUAGGUCUUAAGUUGAGCUACUUGACGGUCUGGUGAGGUGUUUUGGUGUGUUGUCAGCUUUAUAGAGAGUAUGUAAGUCACUCUUGAUUAUCAUGCAAAACAUUGAUUUAUCUCGUUUACAAAAUUUGCAGCAUAAUGCCCAGAAAAGAGACUCCAAAAAAAGCACAGGUAACUGCAUCACUGCAACAGUAACUGCAGCAGCGCGACUGAUUGGUAAUUUCAGUUUUAAGCUCAAUUGCAAUGGCAAUUGCAAAAAAAAGACCGGAAACUCCGCAAAUGACCUGUUUUGGGCAAUGCAAGCUUUAGGACACCUUUUAGCUUAGGAGGACAAUUCAAGCAACGUCAUGAGCGAUGUGAAUGAAUGAGACGGUACGAGAUCUUGCAAGGAGACCUGGAAUGUUUUCAGACGAAUGAAUGUCGAUCUCCUAGCUAAUCAUCAACAAACUCCUGGUACUAGGCUAACAAACGCAAUAUUUCAAUUGCUGUGUGUCUGUUAGCCAAUCAGAUCGCGUUUAUGCCCACGUCUAAAGAGCACGAAGCUGAAAAAUAAAAGAUGGUGGACCAAACUCGUAGAAUAGGUCCCUGCUCCAUCUCGCCAUCAGUUUGGACCCCUGGUAUUGAUGAUAAAGUUCAGCCUCUCGUACCUUAUUGCUUGAGUACAAUAUAGCCUUGUUUUGCCUGUUAUUCAUUUAUUUAUUCAAUUUGAGUUAGUUUGUUAACAAAAAUAAAUAUGUAAGUUUAAAAUAUCGUACUAUUUUUUAUUUAUUUAUUAUUAUUUUUAACUUGGCAAUGGGUGCCCUUUUGGUUUGAAUUUUACACACUAAACUAAGAUGAGAAAAAAUGUGAUAUUUUUUCUGAUUAAGAAGUAAACCUACACAUUCUGCACAAUUUUAGUUUCAAGCAGUCUAUUGGUAGUUAGUUAACAUGCUACCAAACUGAUUAUAGGUACAAGCUAAUAAUAAGAUAUAUACGCUAUUUUAUUGAACAAGUAACUUAACUCAAAUAAUGAUGUGUGCACUAGGCAUCUUUUCUGUGCACUUUUGCGAAAACAGCAGUUUUAUGCCACCGUUUGACCAUGGAAACAGUGGCAGACAACUGAAAACGCAUCAACUCUAAAAUGAGUUGAGAAUAAAUAAAUAAAUGAAAUCCAUCUUUAAACCACUUAUUCUGGGGGGGUGCUCAAGUCAAUCCCAGCCAAUGGAUUGGUUGUGGAAGUUGCGUUUGGAAUGAAAGGCAAUUCCGCGAGUUGAGAACAGCAGCGUGUGUCUCGUUUAUUUUUUACCAUAACAUCCAACUCUAAAGAUGGCGCAGCCCUGUAACCUCACAAGCAAGGUUCUCUACGUCACAACAUAACAAAACAUUUAAAGGGACCGUGAUCCCGGAACAGUCGCAAUUGCGUGUACAACAAAACAAGAACAAAGGUGAAUUAUGCAGUCACAUUCACUAC
ensembl:lncRNA